CGCACCUUGACCGGCGGCACCGGGCGGGCCGGGCCGGGGCGGCUCCGGUACCGGGGGCGGGCGCCGCUCUUUGACCCUCGGGUUGGUCGGGGAGCCCGGUUUUGUCGGGAAAGCCGGAUCCGCGCCGGGAUGCGGACAAAGACACGGAGCAGCUGUUCGGGAAUAAAGCUGAAAUAGUAGAACCUGGGAGAGAAGUUAGCUUGGGGGAGCUAUUAUUUUCGCCGCAAAACCCUCGGGAGGUAUUAAACAGCUGCAUCCAAACGACGGAGCGACCCAAAGGCCGGGAUCCCACCGCCUCGCCGUCGAGCAGCGGGCGCGUGGCUCAGCGCACGGCCGCAGGUGGAGCAGCCCCGGCCCCGCAGCCCCUCUCCAAUGAUGGGUGUAAUGUAACGUGGCUGCCGCGGGACACAACGCCGGGACGCGGGCGCUGGGUCUGGCUGUCGGUGACGUCUGGCUGGCUGGGUGCUGGCUGUAGGGUUCGGGGGAUGGAAGGAAGGGGGUAAAAAUCAAUCUUUGCCUCCACUAGGUUCCUCUGCAAAGAGCAGCGUAGCAGAGCGGUUGGGAGAGCUGUGCUGGACAGAGGACGGCCGGCCGCGAGCGGAGCCUCCCACCGGCGAGCAUUGCCAGGCGAGGAGAGAAAACCUGGGCAGCCUUAAAACACUCAGAGUGUAAUGUGACGCUUCCAAACCUUUGCAGCCUGCGGUAAGCCGAGGGAAGCAAUGAGUAACCUUUGCUUUCAAGUGAAAACGGUGCGGUGGUAACAUCCCGAUGGAGCCCGUGCGCAUCGGGCAUUGUUUGGAAUUCUUGCCAUAUUUUAACCUCUGCCGUGUUGGCUGCUCGCAGGAACAAGCUGAGCGCUCCGAGAUAACACUGCGUUUUGUCAGAUGCUUUAUAACGUUGUUUAGAGACGUGCUCGGAUCUAUUUAGUGCUUCAUAAAUAUGAAUAAAGCGUUUACAAAAGGCACGUCACCGCAGAAGUAACCGUGGAUUAUGCCAGCUGCUCGCAGUUUACACGUUACAAAUUUCCUAAACUGUUCUGAACUACAUUUUACCGGGGGCGUUUUUACCCGCGAUUAAAUACAACUCAGCGCUGCCCAGCAAAUAUCUCUGUUGAUUUAUGUAUAGGAAAUCGGGGAAUCAGCAUUGGCCCAAACCCCAAAUUACUGCUGAAGCAGUUUCAAAUAUUUAUGGACCUGUUAUGGGAGGAGAGAGGAAUGUCAUGUUUUUUUUUUUCCCAAGGCCUCGCUGUGCGCAGACCGAUUUUCUCAGCCGUUUCCGCCCCGGGUGCGGGGUGCCCUGCAGCCCCCCCAGCACAGAUGGGUUUGUGAUGUGAUUGCUGUGCUGUUGGCUGCAGGACAGUGCGGGUUGCAGCCCUGGGUUGCUGUAGGCUCAGCCAUGGUAGUGUGGUUGCAAUCCUGCUGCCCUCCGGCCCUCAGUGCUUUUGUUUGUCCUGGAAAAACGCAGCGCGGUCCCGCAAGGCCUUGCGUUUGUGCUGGGCAUGAAUUUUGCACUGUCCGUUUUAUUUUACCCUCUUGUUUUGUGUUGUUGAUUUUGGUUUGCUUUUUUUUUUUUUUUUUUUUUUCUGGGUUCCCUCCUAGCACACACGCAGUCUUCCUCAGGGGUCCCCAAAAGGAGUUGUGCCACUCCCUGAGCAUCCCCCAGCCCAGCAUGGUGUUGGGAUGCAGGCAGAAGCCUCGGUGGGUGCAGGGCUGUGCCAGGAGCAGCCACCGUUUCUACUGCAGAUGUGAACAGGGGGUGCCCAGCUGGGUGGAAGGUACUCCCCCAUGUAUUGUGGUGGUCGUGAAGUCCCAUUCAAGUGAUGCUCUGCACACCGUUGGGCUUCUCUCUCUCCCCCCGGCCCCCACCCCCACCCCCACCCCCCCCCCCCAAAAAAAAAAAAAGAAAAAGAAAAAGAAAAAACACACACACGGAAAACACAACCCCAGUGUGAGCAUCCUCCUUUUCUCCUUCUUGCAGGGCGAAAGUCUGCUCGAGGAGCCUGAAGACGCACCAUCCCCACUUAUCGCCCCAGAGGCAGGCUAUCUAGCUGACAAGCUGUGCGGUGAAAAACCAGGUGCCCAUGUGCCUGCUGCUCACCCAAGGCCUGAAAGGGAUCAGCUGCUCAUUUUGCAGAGCAAAGUAAGAUGGCAACAAGGAGUGCUUUCCUGGUGCCAGAUUUCAUCUGAAAUUGGUCCUAUGCUGAACGAGUUGGGGCCACUGAGAAGCAGAAAGUGGAUGAAGCAAGAUCCUAAAAGGGAAAGACCAAUGUUUUAUUUACUACAAUAAACCCUAAACCCAGGUUUAUCACUAACUAGUCGUAUUUUCUGUUUGUGUUUGUCUUUGUGGUCUGACAUUUGCUCAUGCUGUGAUAGCUUCAUCAAAAUACAUUUUUUAGAAAAAGCA
ensembl:lncRNA